GACGAACGCUGGCGGCGUGCUUAACACAUGCAAGUCGAACGGAAAGGCCCUGCUUUUGUGGGGUGCUCGAGUGGCGAACGGGUGAGUAACACGUGAGUAACCUGCCCUUGACUUUGGGAUAACUUCAGGAAACUGGGGCUAAUACCGGAUAGGAGCUCCUGCUGCAUGGUGGGGGUUGGAAAGUUUCGGCGGUUGGGGAUGGACUCGCGGCUUAUCAGCUUGUUGGUGGGGUAGUGGCUUACCAAGGCUUUGACGGGUAGCCGGCCUGAGAGGGUGACCGGCCACGUUGGGACUGAGAUACGGCCCAGACUCCUACGGGAGGCAGCAGUGGGGAAUAUUGCACAAUGGGCGGAAGCCUGAUGCAGCAACGCAGCGUGCGGGAUGACGGCCUUCGGGUUGUAAACCGCUUUCGCCUGUGACGAAGCGUGAGUGACGGUAAUGGGUAAAGAAGCACCGGCUAACGACGUG
rnacentral:rRNA from 1 species